rnacentral:rRNA from 1 species
CCUACGGGGGACAGCAGUGAGGAAUAUUGGUCAAUGGACGAGAGUCUGAACCAGCCAAGUAGCGUGAAGGAUGACUGCCCUCUGGGUUGUAAACUUCUUUUAUGAAGGGAUAAAACGAGGCACGUGUGCCUUUUUGCAUGUACUUUAUGAAUAAGGCUCGGCUAACUCCGUGCCAGCAGCCGCGGUAAUACGGAGGGUCCGAGCGUUAUCCGGAUUUAUUGGGUUUAAAGGGAACGUAGAUGGGUUGUUAAGUCAGUUGUGAAAGUUUGCGGCUCAACCGUAAAAUUGCAAUUGAUACUGGCAGGCUUGAGUACAGUAGAGGUAGGUGGAAUUCGUGGUGUAGCGGUGAAAUGCUUAGAUAUCAGGAAGAACCCCGAUGGCGAAGGCAGCUUACUAGACUGUGACUGACAUUGAGGCUCGAAAGUGUGGGUAGCAAACAGGAUUAGAUACCCGGGUAGUC